UGGGGAAUAUUGGACAAUGGGCGAAAGCCUGAUCCAGCCAUGCCGCGUGUGUGAAGAAGGUCUUCGGAUUGUAAAGCACUUUAAGUUGGGAGGAAGGGCAGUAAGCGAAUACCUUGCUGUUUUGACGUUACCGACAGAAUAAGCACCGGCUAACUCUGUGCCAGCAGCCGCGGUAAUACAGAGGGUGCAAGCGUUAAUCGGAAUUACUGGGCGUAAAGCGCGCGUAGGUGGUUCGCUAAGUUGAAUGUGAAAGCCCCGGGCUCAACCUGGGAACUGCAUCCAAAACUGGCGAGCUAGAGUAGGGCAGAGGGUGGUGGAAUUUCCUGUGUAGCGGUGAAAUGCGUAGAUAUAGGAAGGAACACCAGUGGCGAAGGCGACCACCUGGGCUCAUACUGACACUGAGGUGCGAAAGCGUGGGGAGCAAACAGG
rnacentral:rRNA from 1 species